AUCCACCUACGGGACGCAGCAGUAGGGAAUUUUCCACAAUGGGCGAAAGCCUGAUGGAGCAACGCCGCGUGGGGGAAGAAGGUCUUCGGAUCGUAAAACCCUGUUGUUAGAGAGGAAAGUGCGUGAGAGUAACUGUUCACGUUUCGACGGUAUCUAACCAGAAAGCCACGGCUAACUACGUGCCAGCAGCCGCGGUAAUACGUAGGUGGCAAGCGUAAUCGGGAUUUAUUGGGCGUAAAGGGAACGCAGGCGGUCUUUUAAGUCUGAUGUGAAAGCCUUCGGCUUAACCGGAGUAGGGAAUUGGG
rnacentral:rRNA from 1 species